GAUGAACGCUGGCGGCGUGCCUAAUACAUGCAAGUCGAGCGAAUGGAUUAAGAGCUUGCUCUUAUGAAGUUAGCGGCGGACGGGUGAGUAACACGUGGGUAACCUGCCCAUAAGACUGGGAUAACUCCGGGAAACCGGGGCUAAUACCGGAUAACAUUUUGAACCGCAUGGUUCGAAAUUGAAAGGCGGCUUCGGCUGUCACUUAUGGAUGGACCCGCGUCGCAUUAGCUAGUUGGUGAGGUAACGGCUCACCAAGGCAACGAUGCGUAGCCGACCUGAGAGGGUGAUCGGCCACACUGGGUAUGAGACACGGCCCAGACUCCUACGGUAGGCAGCAGUAGGGAAUCUUCCGCAAUGGACGAAAGUCUGAAGGAGCAACGACGCGUGAGUGAUGAAGGCUCUCGGGUCGUAAAACUCUGUUGUUAGGGAAGAACAAGUGCUAGUUGAAUAAGCUGGCACCUUGACGGUACCUAACCAGAAAGCCACGGCUAACUACGUGCCAGCCGCCGCGGUAA
rnacentral:rRNA from 1 species